rnacentral:rRNA from 1 species
UACCAGACUCCUACGGGAGGCAGCAGUGGGGAAUAUUGCACAAUGGGGGAAACCCUGAUGCAGCGACGCCGCGUGAGUGAAGAAGUAUUUCGGUAUGUAAAGCUCUAUCAGCAGGGAAGAUAAUGACGGUACCUGACUAAGAAGCCCCGGCUAACUACGUGCCAGCAGCCGCGGUAAUACGUAGGGGGCAAGCGUUAUCCGGAUUUACUGGGUGUAAAGGGUGCGUAGGUGGCAGGGCAAGUCAGAUGUGAAAGCCCGGGGCUCAACCCCGGUACUGCAUUUGAAACUGUCCAGCUGGAGUGCAGGAGAGGUAAGCGGAAUUCCUAGUGUAGCGGUGAAAUGCGUAGAUAUUAGGAGGAACACCAGUGGCGAAGGCGGCUUACUGGACUGUAACUGACACUGAGGCACGAAAGCGUGGGGAGCAAACAGGAUUAGAUACCCUCGUAA